rnacentral:rRNA from 1 species
UACGAAGGGGGCUAGCGUUGUUCGGAAUUACUGGGCGUAAAGCGCACGUAGGCGGAUCUGUAAGUUGGGGGUGAAAUCCCGGGGCCUAACCCCGGAAUUGCCUUCAAAACUGCUGGUCUGGAGGUCAGGAGAGGCGAGCGGAAUUCCGAGUGUAGAGGUGAAAUUCGUAGAUAUUCGGAGGAACACCAGUGGCGAAGGCGGCUCGCUGGACUGAUACUGACGCUGAGGUGCGAAAGCGUGGGGAGCAAACAGG